AGGUACCUAUCCAUCCAUUCUACUUAUUAGUUUAUUCCCUUCCACAGAAUCUGUAAUGGCCUUUUUCUAAUAGAACCCACCCUUCGAGGGUAUUAUAAGCAAAAACUGUUACCUUACUUCCACGACGGUAGUGUCUUCUAGAAUGUAAUAUCUAUUGGCAAAGCUAAAACCAGCGUCUUUGAACGGAACGAAUCAAGUUGAAAUUAAGUUGGCCAAUCAAUAUCAGAAUCAUAUUCCUAAGCUUUUUCCUUUUCUAAGAAACUCUACAAACUUUUUACUGAAGAGAUAAUCGAUAUAUAUACACACACGUAACGGAAGACACUAAUCUCUACCUCCAAAGCUUCAAAGAUGCCCAUAUCAGAAGAAAAACAAGACCAUCACCCACCAGGGUACCCGACUGAGAACGUUGAGACAGGGAAGAAGAAACGGUUACGGGGUACUACAAAAAAACGAGGAGAUAGAAGUUUUAUUGAAGGAUGCCUUUUUGGCUUGUGUUGCUGUUGGCUUUGUGAGGCAUGUUGCUGAUUCUCCUGGAUGAUUGUCCUGUUGUCUAUUGUAAUUAGUGUUUAUAUAUGUUCCAUCAAUAUCAGCAACACUGAUCUAGUGUAUUGUAUAAAACAACUUUAUCUAUGAGAUUACUUGACCUAUGGUUUUCUUGAGCA